rnacentral:rRNA from 1 species
GACGAACGCUGGCGGCGUGCUUAACACAUGCAAGUCGAACGGAAAGGCCUCUUUCGGGGGGUACUCGAGUGGCGAACGGGUGGGUAACACGUGAGUAACCUGCCCUUGACUUUGGGAUAACUUCAGGAAACUGGGGCUAAUACCGGAUAGGAGCUCCUGCUGCAUGGUGGGGGUUGGAAAGUUUCGGUGUUUGGGGGUGGACUCGCGGCGUAUCAGCUUGUUGGUGGGGUAGUGGCUUACCAAGGCUUUGACGGGUAGCCGGCCUGAGAGGGUGACCGGCCACAUUGGGACUGAGAGGCGGCCCAGAUUCCUACGGGAGGCAGCAGGGGGGAAUAUUGCACAAUGGGUGGAAGCCUGAUGCAGCAACGCCGUGGGCGGGAUGACGGCCUUCGGGUUGAAAACCGCUUUCGCUCAUGACGAAGCUUUGUGUGACGGUAGUGGGUAAAGAAGCACCGGCUAACUACGUG